rnacentral:rRNA from 1 species
GACAGAGGGGGCGAGCGUUGUCCGGAGUCACUGGGCGUAAAGCGCGCGCAGGCGGUGACCUUAGUGUCGUGUGAAAGCCCCCGGCUCAACCGGGGGAGGCCAUGGCAAACUGGGUCGCUCGAGCUGCGGAGAGGCCCCUCGAAUUGCCGGUGUAGCGGUGAAAUGCGUAGAGAUCGGCAGGAAGACCAAGGGGGAAGCCAGGGGGCUGGCCGCAGGCUGACGCUGAGGCGCGACAGCGUGGGGAGCAAACCGG